AGUGACUACCAAGGUAAUUAGACAAAAAAAUGAUGCUCUUUCUACUCUUUGUAGCCCUUCCUAUCAUUCUUAUUUUCCUUCUUCCUAAAGCCAAAAAGGGUGCAAAAAACACACAGCCACCAGGUCCUGUUGGCCUGCCAUUCAUUGGAAAUUUGCAUCAAUUUGAUAGUUUAACCCCUCAUAUCUAUUUUUGGAAACUUUCUAAGAAAUAUGGAAAAAUAUUCUCAUUGAAACUUGGUUCUACUCCAAUGGUCGUAGUUUCUUCAGCAAAAUUAGCAAAAGAAGUGUUGAAGACACAAGAUUUAGUAUAUUGUAGUAGACCCUCUAUUCUUGGCCAGCAAAAAUUGUCUUACAAUGGUCGCGACAUAAUCUUUGCACCUUACAAUGACUAUUGGAGAGAGAUGAGAAAAAUUAGUGUGCUUCAUCUAUUUAGUCUCAAGAAAGUGCAAUUAUAUAAACCAAUUCGUGAAGAUGAAGUAUCAAGAAUGAUCAAGAAAAUAUCUCAACAUGCUGCUUCUUCUCAAAUUACAAAUUUGAGCAAUUUAAUGAUUUCGCUUACAAGUACAAUUAUAUGUAGAUUUGCUUUUGGUGUUAGGUUUGACGAUGAAGCACAUGAAAGGAAGAGAUUUGAUUAUCUAUUGGCUGAAACUCAAGCAAUGAUGGCUAGCUUUUUCGUGUCUGAUAUUUUUCCUAUUUUAGGUUGGAUUGAUAAACUUAAUGGAUUGACAGAUAGACUAGAAAAGAAUUUAAAGAAAUUGGAUGAGUUUUAUGAAGAACUCAUUGAGCAACAUCAAAAUCCCGAUAGGCCAAAAUCCAUGGAAGGAGAUAUCGUUGAUCUUUUGCUUCAAUUGAAGAAAGAGAAAUCAAUACCAAUUGAUCUCACUUUGGAGGACAUAAAAGGACUUCUCAUGGUAAUUUCACAUGUCUUAAUUAACUCAAUACAUUGUUAUUUUAAGAUAAUUCGAUUGUUAUUUUAAUUAAAUUAUUUGCUUGUAUAUAGGAUGUGUUAGUUGCUGGAUCAGAUACUAGUGCGGCUGGGAUAGUAUGGACAAUGACAGCUUUGAUGAAGAAUCCAAAAGCCAUGAAGAAAGUUCAAGAAGAAAUCAGAAAGUCAAUUGGGAACAAAGGCAUUGUGAAUGAAGAUGAUAUACAAAAUAUGCCUUAUUUCAAAGCAGUGAUAAAAGAGGCUUUUAGAUUAUACCCACCAGUUCCACUUCUAGUGCAAAGAGAAUCAAUGAAAAAAUCCACACUAGAAGGAUAUGAAAUUCAGGCCAGAACUAUAGUUCAUGUUAAUUCAUGGGCAAUUGCAAGGGACCCUGAAAUAUGGGAAAAUCCAGAAGAAUUUAUACCUGAGAGAUUUCUGAAUAGCGACAUUGAUUACAAAGGACAAAACUAUGAGCUAAUUCCAUUUGGAGCAGGUCGAAGAGGUUGCCCCGGAAUGACACUUGGGGUUGCAUCCAUGGAACUUGCAUUAUCAAAUCUUCUUUAUGCAUUUGAUUGGGAGUUACCUCACGGGAUGAAAAAAGAGGACAUUGACACAAAUGUUAGGCCUGGAAUUACCAUGCAUAAGAAAAAUGAGCUAUGUCUUAUCCCUAAAAGUUAUUUUUAGAUUUUACUCAUAUGUGAAUCUAAGACGAAUUUUGUAAUAAUAAAUUGUAACGAUUUUAAAUCUUGAAAUCACAUUUCACCCUCCUUCUAUUUUGAUAUUCUUCACCUUAUAACCCCUUUAGUCAUCCACUACUCAGGUUUAUUUUACACUACUCAAUGGACCUUAGUUAAAUUGGUGUAUAUAUAUAUAUAGUUAUAGUUAUGGUUAUAGUUAUUAUAAAAAUGUGUAUCGUAGAUCCAAAUCUUGAAUAAUGAAAUGAAUAUAACUCUUAAAAAGUUUUAAGAAUAAUAUUAUUUAUGAAAUUGUUAUUCUUUAGGCAGAUUCAGUAUGCUUCACUUUUGAGAUGUUUAGGCCAAGAGUACUGUAUAGGGAUUGUACAUUCAUGAGUUGUAGUUCUCAUGGAGUCAUGUGUGGACGUUAUCGCUCAUACAAGUCCCAAUCAAAAAGCAAAUUGCGCCCACAUUGAUAGAAGCUCAUCUGCCCAUGGUUUGAUCAAUUGAAAGACAUCCUCUUGGUGCAAUUACGUAAGUAACAAAAAGAAUUUAUUUUUUGUUUUAUGUUACUCUAGAUGAUUUUUAUACAUAAAAAAACUGAAAUUUAUUUUAAUUAUUGUAAAUGGUCGUAGGAGAUAAUUUAGUACCCCAUAUGUGCACCUUAAUAUAUAUUAAGACAUUUCAAGUGGCCAUUAUUUUGUGAAGCUGGACAACAAAAUGAUGCUCUUUCUACUCUUUGUAGCUUUUCCUAUCAUUGUUAUUUUUCUUCUUCCAAAAGCCAAAAAGAGUGGCAAAAACAAUCUGCCACCAGGUCCUAUAGGCCUCCCAUUCAUUGGAAAUUUGCAUCAAUUUGAUAGUUUAACCCCUCAUAUCUAUUUUUGGAAACUUACCAAAAUAUAUGGAAAAAAUUUCACAUUGAAAUUUGGUUCUACUCCAAUAGUUGUAAUUUCUUCAGCAAAGUUAGCAAAAGAAGUGUUGAAGACACAAGAUUUUAGUAUUUUGUAGUAGACCUUCUCUUCUUGGUCAGCAAAAAUUGUCUUACAAUGGUCAUGAUAUUGGCUUUGCACCUUACAAUGAUCAUUGGAGGGAAAGACGAAAAAUAUGCGUCCUUCAUCUAUUUAGUCUCAAGAAAGUGCAAUCUUUUAGUCCAAUUCGCGAAGAUGAAGUCUCAAGAAUGAUCAAGAAAAUAUAUGAACAAGCUAUUAAUUCUAAGAUCACCAAUUUGAGCAAUUUAAUGAUUUCGCUUACUAGUACAAUUAUUUGUAGAAUUGCUUUCGGUGUUAGGUUUGAUGAAGAAGGACAUGAAAGGAAGAGAUUUGAUUGUCUUUUAGCCGAAGCUCAAGCUAUGUCCGUUAGCUUUUUUGUGUCUGAUUUUUUUCCUUCUUUAAGUUGGAUUGAUAAACUUACUGGAUUGACAAAUAGACUUGAGAAAAUUUUUCAGGAUUUGGAUGAGUUUUACGAAGAACUCAUUGAGCAACAUCAGAAUCCCAACAGGGCAAAAUCCAUGGAAGGAGAUAUUCUUGAUCUUUUGCUACAAUUGAAGAAAGAGCGAUCAACUUCAAUUGAUCUCACUUUGGAUGACAUCAAAGGAAUACUUAUGGUAAUUUUCCGAACCUACCUACUUCUACAUGCAUCUCGCAUACAUGUAUACACAUAUACAUAAUCAUAUGCAUAUAUACAUAUGUGCAUCUGGAUACAUAUACAUAAUGGUGAAAACUGAACGAGUUGAAUCAAAUAUAUAUGGGUGGGUCAUCAUGGGUUAUUGAUCUAACCCAUUCAAAAUUUACUUUAGUCAAAAUGAGUUAGGUAAAGAUAGGUCAAAUGACAUGUCAUAAUUCAAUACGGCCCAACAUGACGACCUUCCAACCUUGUAUAUUUUGCAUUUCUAAAGAAAAAACAAAUGAAAGCUAACUUACCAUUCCUAAAUUGUUUGGUUAAGUUCUUCCAAAUUUAUGUAGGAUGUGUUCGUUGCUGGAUCGGACACUAGCGCGGCCGCAGUAGAAUGGGCAAUGACAGCCUUAAUAAAGAAUCCAAAAAUCAUGAAGAAGGUCCAAAAAGAAAUCAGAGAAACAAUUGGGACCAAAGGCAUUGUGAAUGAAGAUGAUAUCCAAAAUAUGUCUUAUUUCAAAUCAGUAAUAAAAGAGACAUUUAGAUUAUAUCCACCAGCUCCACUCCUAAUACCAAGAGAAACAAUGAAAAAAUCCACACUAGAAGGGUAUGAAAUUCAUCCAGGAACUAUAAUUCAUGUGAACUCUUGGGCAAUUGCGCGAGAUCCUGAAAUAUGGGAGAAUUCAGAAGAAUUUAUACCUGAAAGAUUCUUGAAUAGUGAUAUCGAUUUCAAGGGUCAAAAUUUUGAGUUGAUUCCAUUUGGAGCAGGACGGAGAGGUUGUCCAGGGAUUACACUUGGGGUUGCAUCUAUGGAACUUGCAUUAUCAAAUCUUCUUUAUGCAUUUGAUUGGGAAUUACCUUAUGGGAUGAAAAAAGAGGACAUUGACACAUAUGUUAAGCCUGG
rnacentral:lncRNA from 1 species